rnacentral:snRNA from 1 species
UUGCUUUGGUAGCACAAAUAUUAAAAAAUUGGAAAUAUACUGAGCAGAUUAGCACGGCCCCAGCCAAAGGAUGACACACAAAUUUGUGAAUCUUUCCAUAUUUUU